rnacentral:rRNA from 1 species
AUGAUUGAUCCACAAGCAAAUCUUGAUGAGCUGUACUGUAUUUGGCUUCCAAACACGACCUUAUCCGUAACGGGGGAGUCCACGGGCACCACGACGCCGUGCGCUUCGCUGGCGGUCCGGGCGGUAUAUAAAUCGUCGGAUUACUACCCGGGUACGGAAUCGUCUCUGUCCCAAGAGGAAUCGGAUGCGACUCCGCAUCUCGACCUAAAACCGCGGCUCGCCGUCGAUCGAGGUGGGCCAGGUGCAGGCGGGCGGCCGGCCGGCCGUACGUGCAAAUCAUGGAUGGGAAACUACGUUUUUCCGCUGAACCUGCCUCCGGGCUACCACUUCGCCCCGUCGGGAGACGAGCUCAUCGUCCACUACCUUCGCCGGAAGCUGGACGGCCUCCCGCCGCACCUGCCCAUCUUCAACGACGUGACGCCCAUCAUCGACUACCGCCCGGAGCAGAUCACAGAUGAGUUCAGAGACUUCGGGGAGGGGGCUCGGUGGUACUUCUUCACCAAGCGGACCCGCAAGUACGCGACGGGCAGCCGGCCGGACCGGACCACGCCGGGCAAUGGCUUCUGGAAGGCCACGGGCCCCGUGAGGGAAAUCCCCAUCUGCCCCGGCGGCAAGCUGGUCGGGCGCGCGAGGACGCUGGUGUUCUACACCGGGCCGGAGAAGCCGACCCACUGGACCAUGUACGAGUACGAGAACCGCACGUCCGAGGCAGAGGCCAAUGACAAGAACGUCGACAAGCUUGGUGAGUGGGUCUUGUGCACGAUACAGAAGAGUCAGCGCUGCGACCAGAAGAAAGAGGCAGGCGGCAAGGCUAAAAGCAAGGCAGGCGGCAAGAAAAGGAAGGGCAAGGCACGGAACGGCGCCGAUCUAGUCCAGAUUCAGAGCGCCGAGGUGCCGGAGAUUGCGUGGCCGGAGAAAGUUGAUGAGGCGUACGUGUUCGACGACCUGGAGCAGACAGGUUGCCCCAAGAAGAGACCACAGAUUGAGCAGCAUGAACCGCCGCGCUCAGAGACAAUGAUGGUAGACGACUAUGACUACAAUGGUAUCCAAUACAUCUGGGAUGAUGAGUACAUGCCGCCGCCGCCGCUGCCGCUGCCGCUGGAGUAUGAGGUGGCGCCUCAUGUUGCAGGAGUAGGAUACAGCUACAACAACAUGAUGUAUCAGCCGGCUAACAGCUACCUACAUGCUGCGCAUUACGCGGUGGAGCAGGAUGGGUACGCCGGCGGACAUCUCGGCAGCCUCUUGGGCACGGGCAACAUUCCAUGUGCUUACCGGCCGCAACAUUCUUGCGCCGCUGGAAUCACCAACUUGCCAUGGAGCAGGGGGGCGACGACGAGCGGGCAGGUAGAGCCGUGA